rnacentral:rRNA from 1 species
GGCGGCCUACGGGGCGCAGCAGUGGGGAAUAUUGCACAAUGGGGGAAACCCUGAUGCAGCGACGCCGCGUGAGUGAAGAAGUAUUUCGGUAUGUAAAGCUCUAUCAGCAGGGAAGAAGAAAGACGGUACCUGACUAAGAAGCCCCGGCUAACUACGUGCCAGCAGCCGCGGUAAUACGUAGGGGGCAAGCGUUAUCCGGAUUUACUGGGUGUAAAGGGAGCGUAGACGGCUGUGCAAGUCUGAAGUGAAAGCCCGCGGCCCAACCGCGGGACUGCAUUGGGAACUGGCGCGCUGGAGUGCCGGAG